AAAUGAAUUGACGGGGGCCCGCACAAGCAGUGGAGUAUGUGGUUUAAUUCGACGCAACGCGAAGAACCUUACCAGGUCUUGACAUCGUAUGCAUAGUGUAGAGAUACACGAAGUCCUUCGGGACAUACAGACAGGUGGUGCAUGGUUGUCGUCAGCUCGUGUCGUGAGAUGUUGGGUUAAGUCCCGCAACGAGCGCAACCCUUGUAUUUAGUUGCUACGCAAGAGCACUCUAGAUAGACUGCCGUGGACAACACGGAGGAAGGUGGGGAUGACGUCAAAUCAUCAUGCCCCUUAUGACCUGGGCUACACACGUACUACAAUGGCAAUAGAACAGAGGGAAGCGACUCAGCGAUGAGAAGCAGAUCCCGAAAAAUUGUCUCAGUUCGGAUUGCAGGCUGCAACCCGCCUGCAUGAAGUCGGAAUUGCUAGUAAUCGCGGAUCAGCAUGCCGCGGUGAAUACGUUCCCGGGCCUUGUACACACCGCCCGU
rnacentral:rRNA from 1 species